ACCGAUAGCGCACAAGUACCGUGAGGGAAAGGUGAAAAGAACCGUGGGUAACGGAGUGAAAUAGAACCUGAAACCAUCUACUUACAAUCAUUCAGAGCCCUAUGAUUUAUCAGGGUGAUGGACUGCCUUUUGCAUAAUGAUCCUGCGAGUUGUGGUGUCUGGCAAGGUUAAGUGAAAACGAGCCGUAGCGAAAGCGAGUCUGAAUAGGGCUAUUUAGUCAGACGCUGCAGACCCGAAGCCAAGUGAUCUAUCCAUGGCCAAGUUGAAACGAGUGUAACAGCUUGUGGAGGACUGAACCCGUGCCCAUUGAAACGGGCUGGGAUGAGCUGUGGAUAGGGGUGAAAGGCCAAACAAACUUGGUGAUAGCUGGUUCUCUUCGAAAUAUAUUUAGGUAUAGCCUCAAGUCAUGACAAGAGGGGGUAGAGCUCUGAUUGGGCUAGGGCUGCUCGCCGCAGUACCAAACCCUGUCAAACUGCGAAUACCUUUUGUUGUAUCUUGGGAGUCAGGCGGUGGGUGAUAAAAUCAAUCGUCAAGAGGGAAACAACCCAGACUACCAACUAAGGUCCCCAAGUUCUAUUCUGAGUGGAAAAAGAUGUGUGGUUACUCAAACAACCAGGAGGUUGGCUUAGAAGCAGCCAUCCUUUAAAGAAAGCGUAACAGCUCACUGGUCUAGUGAUCAUGCGCUGAAAAUAUAACGGGGCUAAGAUAGACACCGAAGUUGUAGAUUAUGUUUCACACAUAGUGGUAGAAGAGCGUUCUGUGCAGCACUGAAGGCAUACCGGUAAGGAGUGUUGGAGCGCACAGAAGUGAGCAUGCAGGAAUGAGUAGCGAUAAGAUGCGUAAGAAUCGUAUCCGCCGUAAAUCUAAGGUUUCCUACGCGAUGUUCGUCAUCGUAGGGUUAGUCGGGUCCUAAGCCAAGUCCAAAAGGGGUAGGCGAUGGCAAAUGGGUUAAUAUUCCCAUACCAAUUGCAAUGUGCGAUGGGAGGACGCAUAAAGUUAGGCGAGCCAGCUGAUGGAAGUGCUGGUCGAAGGGUGUAGAUUGGGAGAGUGGCAAAUCCGCUCCUGUAUUUGAAACCUGACAGGCUCUCUAAGACCUUCGGGUCAAGGGGAGAAUCGCUGAUACUAUCGUGCCAAGAAAAGUCUCUAAGUUUAGUUGCAAUUGUCCGUACCGCAAACCGACACAGGUAGAUGAGAUGAGUAUUCUAAGGCGCGUGGAUGAACUCUCUUUAAGGAACUCUGCAAACUAGCACCGUAAGUUCGCGAUAAGGUGUGCCUACUCUAAGUAGGUCUCAGCAAAGAGUCCCUCCCGACUGUUUACCAAAAACACAGCACUUUGCCAACUCGUAAGAGGAAGUAUAAGGUGUGACGCCUGCCCGGUGCUCGAAGGUUAAGAGGAUGGGUUAGCCGCAAGGCGAAGCUUUGAAUUGAAGCCCGAGUAAACGGCGGGCGGAACUAUAAAGGGCCUAAGGGAG
rnacentral:rRNA from 1 species